rnacentral:misc_RNA from 1 species
ACAAGGAAUUUCGCUACCUUAGGAUGGUUAUAGUUACCACCGCCGUUUACUGGGGCUUAAAUUCAGAGCUUCGCACCGAAAUGCUAACCCUUCCUCUUAACCUUCCAGCACCGGGCAGGCGUCAGUCCGUAUACAUCGUUUUGCAACUUCGCACGGACCUGUGUUUUUAGUAAACAGUCGCUUCCCACUGGUCUCUGCGGCCUUCAAACGCUCGG